GACGAACGCUGGCGGCGUGCUUAACACAUGCAAGUCGAACGGAAAGGCCCUGCUUUUGUGGGGUGCUCGAGUGGCGAACGGGUGAGUAACACGUGAGUAACCUGCCCUUGACUUUGGGAUAACUUCAGGAAACUGGGGCUAAUACCGGAUAGGAGCUCCUGCUGCAUGGUGGGGGUUGGAAAGGUUCGGCGGUUGGGGAUGGACUCGCGGCGUAUCAGCUUGUUGGUGGGGUAGUGGCUUACCAAGGCUUUGACGGGUAGCCGGCCUGAGAGGGUGACCGGCCCCAUUGGGACUGAGAUGCGGCGCAGACUCCUACGGGAGGCAGCAGUGGGGGAUAUUGCACAAUGGGCGGACGCCUGAUGCAGCAACGCCGCGUGCGGGAUGACGGCCUUCGGGUUGUAAACCGCUUUCGCCUGUGAUGAAGCGUGAGUGACGGUAAUGGGUAAAGAAGCACCGGCUAACUACGUG
rnacentral:rRNA from 1 species